UACAGAGGGUGCGAGCGUUGUCCGGAAUCACUGGGCGUAAAGGGCGCGUAGGCGGCUUGAUAAGCGUGCGGUGAAAGCCCGGGGCUCAACCCCGGGUCGGCCGUGCGAACUGUCGAGCUGGAGCACUGUAGAGGCAGGUGGAAUUCCGGGUGUAGCGGUGGAAUGCGUAGAGAUCCGGGAGAACACCGGUGGCGAAGGCGGCCUGCUGGGCAGUGGCUGACGCUGAGGCGCGACAGCGUGGGGAGCAAACAGG
rnacentral:rRNA from 1 species